rnacentral:tRNA from 1 species
GGAGGAGUCGCAUAGUGGUCUAGUGCGGCCGCCUGCUAAGCGGUUUCGGGGGUUGAUGCCUCCGACGAGGGUUCGAAUCCCUCCUCCUCCG